rnacentral:rRNA from 1 species
GGUUAAGCGACUAAGCGUACACGGUGGAUGCCCUGGCAGUCAGAGGCGAUGAAGGACGUGCUAAUCUGCGAUAAGCGUCGGUAAGGUGAUAUGAACCGUUAUAACCGGCGAUUUCCGAAUGGGGAAACCCAGUGUGAUUCGUCACACUAUCAUUAACUGAAUCCAUAGGUUAAUGAGGCGAACCGGGGGAACUGAAACAUCUAAGUACCCCGAGGAAAAGAAAUCAACCGAGAUUCCCCCAGUAGCGGCGAGCGAACGGGGAGGAGCCCAGAGCCUGAAUCAGUGUGUGUGUUAGUGGAAGCGUCUGGAAAGGCGCGCGAUACAGGGUGACAGCCCCGUACACAAAAAUGCACAUGCUGUGAGCUCGAUGAGUAGGGCGGGACACGUGGUAUCCUGUCUGAAUAUGGGGGGACCAUCCUCCAAGGCUAAAUACUCCUGACUGACCGAUAGUGAACCAGUACCGUGAGGGAAAGGCGAAAAGAACCCCGGCGAGGGGAGUGAAAAAGAACCUGAAACCGUGUACGUACAAGCAGUGGGAGCCUCUUUAUGGGGUGACUGCGUACCUUUUGUAUAAUGGGUCAGCGACUUAUAUUCUGUAGCAAGGUUAACCGAAUAGGGGAGCCGAAGGGAAACCGAGUCUUAACUGGGCGUUAAGUUGCAGGGUAUAGACCCGAAACCCGGUGAUCUAGCCAUGGGCAGGUUGAAGGUUGGGUAACACUAACUGGAGGACCGAACCGACUAAUGUUGAAAAAUUAGCGGAUGACUUGUGGCUGGGGGUGAAAGGCCAAUCAAACCGGGAGAUAGCUGGUUCUCCCCGAAAGCUAUUUAGGUAGCGCCUCGUGAACUCAUCUCCGGGGGUAGAGCACUGUUUCGGCAAGGGGGUCAUCCCGACUUACCAACCCGAUGCAAACUGCGAAUACCGGAGAAUGUUAUCACGGGAGACACACGGCGGGUGCUAACGUCCGUCGUGAAGAGGGAAACAACCCAGACCGCCAGCUAAGGUCCCAAAGUCAUGGUUAAGUGGGAAACGAUGUGGGAAGGCCCAGACAGCCAGGAUGUUGGCUUAGAAGCAGCCAUCAUUUAAAGAAAGCGUAAUAGCUCACUGGUCGAGUCGGCCUGCGCGGAAGAUGUAACGGGGCUAAACCAUGCACCGAAGCUGCGGCAGCGACACUAUGUGUUGUUGGGUAGGGGAGCGUUCUGUAAGCCUGUGAAGGUGUACUGUGAGGUAUGCUGGAGGUAUCAGAAGUGCGAAUGCUGACAUAAGUAACGAUAAAGCGGGUGAAAAGCCCGCUCGCCGGAAGACCAAGGGUUCCUGUCCAACGUUAAUCGGGGCAGGGUGAGUCGACCCCUAAGGCGAGGCCGAAAGGCGUAGUCGAUGGGAAACAGGUUAAUAUUCCUGUACUUGGUGUUACUGCGAAGGGGGGACGGAGAAGGCUAUGUUGGCCGGGCGACGGUUGUCCCGGUUUAAGCGUGUAGGCUGGUUUUCCAGGCAAAUCCGGAAAAUCAAGGCUGAGGCGUGAUGACGAGGCACUACGGUGCUGAAGCAACAAAUGCCCUGCUUCCAGGAAAAGCCUCUAAGCAUCAGGUAACAUCAAAUCGUACCCCAAACCGACACAGGUGGUCAGGUAGAGAAUACCAAGGCGCUUGAGAGAACUCGGGUGAAGGAACUAGGCAAAAUGGUGCCGUAACUUCGGGAGAAGGCACGCUGAUAUGUAGGUGAAGCGACUUGCUCGUGGAGCUGAAAUCAGUCGAAGAUACCAGCUGGCUGCAACUGUUUAUUAAAAACACAGCACUGUGCAAACACGAAAGUGGACGUAUACGGUGUGACGCCUGCCCGGUGCCGGAAGGUUAAUUGAUGGGGUUAGCGCAAGCGAAGCUCUUGAUCGAAGCCCCGGUAAACGGCGGCCGUAACUAUAACGGUCCUAAGGUAGCGAAAUUCCUUGUCGGGUAAGUUCCGACCUGCACGAAUGGCGUAAUGAUGGCCAGGCUGUCUCCACCCGAGACUCAGUGAAAUUGAACUCGCUGUGAAGAUGCAGUGUACCCGCGGCAAGACGGAAAGACCCCGUGAACCUUUACUAUAGCUUGACACUGAACAUUGAGCCUUGAUGUGUAGGAUAGGUGGGAGGCUUAGAAGUGUGGACGCCAGUCUGCAUGGAGCCGACCUUGAAAUACCACCCUUUAAUGUUUGAUGUUCUAACGUUGACCCGUGAUCCGGGUUGCGGACAGUGUCUGGUGGGUAGUUUGACUGGGGCGGUCUCCUCCUAAAGAGUAACGGAGGAGCACGAAGGUUGGCUAAUCCUGGUCGGACAUCAGGAGGUUAGUGCAAUGGCAUAAGCCAGCUUGACUGCGAGCGUGACGGCGCGAGCAGGUGCGAAAGCAGGUCAUAGUGAUCCGGUGGUUCUGAAUGGAAGGGCCAUCGCUCAACGGAUAAAAGGUACUCCGGGGAUAACAGGCUGAUACCGCCCAAGAGUUCAUAUCGACGGCGGUGUUUGGCACCUCGAUGUCGGCUCAUCACAUCCUGGGGCUGAAGUAGGUCCCAAGGGUAUGGCUGUUCGCCAUUUAAAGUGGUACGCGAGCUGGGUUUAGAACGUCGUGAGACAGUUCGGUCCCUAUCUGCCGUGGGCGCUGGAGAACUGAGGGGGGCUGCUCCUAGUACGAGAGGACCGGAGUGGACGCAUCACUGGUGUUCGGGUUGUCAUGCCAAUGGCACUGCCCGGUAGCUAAAUGCGGAAGAGAUAAGUGCUGAAAGCAUCUAAGCACGAAACUUGCCCCGAGAUGAGUUCUCCCUGACUCCUUGAGAGUCCUGAAGGAACGUUGAAGACGACGACGUUGAUAGGCCGGGUGUGUAAGCGCAGCGAUGCGUUGAGCUAACCGGUACUAAUGAACCGUGAGGCUUAACCUU